GACGAACGCUGGCGGCGUGCUUAACACAUGCCAGUCGAACGGAAAGGCCCUGCUUUUGUGGGGUGCUCGAGUGGCGAACGGGUGAGUAACACGUGAGUAACCUGCCCUUGACUUUGGGAUAACUUCAGGAAACUGGGGCUAAUACCGGAUAGGAGCUCCUGCUGCAUGGUGGGGGUUGGAAAGUUUCGGCGGUUGGGGAUGGACUCGCGGCUUAUCAGCUUGUUGGUGGGGUAGUGGCUUACCAAGGCUUUGACGGGUAGCCGGCCCGAGAGGGUGACCGGCGACAUUGGGCCUGAGAGACGGACCAGACUGGUACGGGAGGCAGCAGUGGGGAAUAUUGCACAAUGGGCGGAAGCCUGAUGCAGAAACGCCGCGUGCGGGAUGACGGCCUGCGGGUUGUAAACCGCUUUCGCCUGUGAUGAAGCGUGAGUGACGGUAAUGGGUAAAGAAGCACCGGCUAACUACGUG
rnacentral:rRNA from 1 species